AUAAUUAGGUGCACUUUUGGAAAAUUAUUUGAUACUCGUGGGAAUAUCAGGGUCUACACAACAUUGGAAUCUUCAUUCCCGGGCAUACUAUGCAAGAUUUCUGUGAAAGUUAAUCCACCUAUCACCAAACAUUUGCCCAUCACUUAUCUUUUCCAAAUUUCUUCAAAACACAUCUCUCCCAUCACUGCUGCUACCCCCUUUGCCUCUGCCUCUCUCGUAUGUAUCGUCAACCGUAGUAACAAAUGCUGGGACUCUCAUAUGGAGAAAUACUUCUGUUGAUUGGAGUCACUGCUGCUGUAAUUGGCCCAAAAGAUUUGCCAAUCAUAGCCAGAACAGCUGGGAGGCUAGCUGGUCGCGCUGUUGGAUAUGUACAAUUGGCUCGCGGCCAAUUUGACAGCGUUAUGCAGCAAACCCAAGCUCGCCAGGUUCACAAGGAACUGCAGGACACAAUGGCACAGCUCGAUGCUAUUCGUCAUGAAAUUAGAAGUAUAUCACUCAUAAAUCCCGGCCCUAUGACCCGCAGGCUUGUGGAUAAUCCUGACCAGACAUCUAUUCCAAAUGGCACCAAAAAAGCCGAAGACGUUGGAGAGAAUAAGUCCAUACCCCCUGCUACCACUAACUCAACACCCACUGUUAUCAAGGAUUCACCUUUGUUGGCCUCAUCAAAUUCAUGCAACAUGCAAAGUCAAGCAACGACAUAUGCCCGAUUGGCAGAGUCUGCUAUCAUCAAGAACAGUUUAGCUGCAAGUAGUACUGAACCCCAGAAGAUUAAACCUGAACUGCAGCAUACUGUCUUGCCAAUUUCCGCUGAAAGCGCUGGACUCUUACCAAAUCGUAGCGCUGAUGUGAAAGGAUCCGACAUAGUUCUAGAAGCAAUCGUGGAGGCAGAAGUAGCUCACAAUGCCAAGGAAUUCUUUUCACAACCCCAAAAUCAAACAUGAUUGAUAUCAUAUGAUGAUGAGGAGUACCAGCCAAUGUUCUGGAAGCUGCAACAGAUCUCAUUCACAUGGAAGUUUGGAUAGGAAUCCAAAUCGAGCUAGAUCUGGAAAGGUUCCACACUGGUGCGGUUGUGGAAUGCGUCCCGUUCUUCGUUGGUCUGGAACAGAAGUAAAUCCAGAAAGACCAUUUUUUGGAUGUCCAAAUUAUAAUACCUCUGGAAAUAGAUGGUGUGGACUUUUUGUGUCGACAAAUGUCGUGGAAGAAGACAUGACUGGCAGACGUGAAAAUGAAAAUAGCAUUGAGUAUUGGAAGAUGAACGUGGGUUGGAAGAUUAGUGCAAUAGAAGCUGAAAUUAGGAUUUUAAAAGUAUGGAAUAGUAU